AAACCUUAAUAAUUUGACGGUAAUUAUUUCAUAAAGGAGCUUGUAACUUAAUCGAUACUUCACGUAAACCUUACUUAUAUUAAUUUUGUAUACCUCCGUAUAGAUUUUAUUUAAAAUUUUAAAUAUUCUCUGAAUAAAAUAAUUUAUUACAUCAGGUCAAGGCACAGAAUAUAUAAGUUGUUAUGAGCUACAUUAAAUAAAUAAUUUUGAAUUGUAUUUUAAAAAAUAUAUGAAAUUGAAUUUAUAAGUAAAAUAAUAUAUAAUAUUUAUUUGAAAGUAAAUAUUUAUGUACACAU
rnacentral:rRNA from 1 species